GGUUAAGUUAGAAAGGGCGCACGGUGGAUGCCUUGGCACUAGGAGCCGAUGAAGGACGGGACGAACACCGAUAUGCUUCGGGGAGCUGUAAGCAAGCUUUGAUCCGGAGAUUUCCGAAUGGGGAAACCCACCACUCGUAAUGGAGUGGUAUCCAUAUCUGAAUACAUAGGGUAUGAGAAGGCAGACCCGGGGAACUGAAACAUCUAAGUACCCGGAGGAAGAGAAAGCAAAUGCGAUUCCCUGAGUAGCGGCGAGCGAAACGGGAUCAGCCCAAACCAAGAGGCUUGCCUCUUGGGGUUGUAGGACACUCUGUACGGAGUUACAAAGGAACGAGGUAGAUGAAGAGGUCUGGAAAGGCCCGCCAUAGGAGGUAACAGCCCUGUAGUCAAAACUUCGUUCUCUCCUGAGUGGAUCCUGAGUACGGCGGAACACGUGAAAUUCCGUCGGAAUCCGGGAGGACCAUCUCCCAAGGCUAAAUACUCCCUAGUGACCGAUAGUGAACCAGUACCGUGAGGGAAAGGUGAAAAGCACCCCGGAAGGGGAGUGAAAGAGAUCCUGAAACCGUGUGCCUACAAGUAGUCAGAGCCCGUUAACGGGUGAUGGCGUGCCUUUUGUAGAAUGAACCGGCGAGUUACGAUCCCGUGCAAGGUUAAGCAGAAGAUGCGGAGCCGCAGCGAAAGCGAGUCUGAAUAGGGCGAAUUGAGUACGUGGUCGUAGACCCGAAACCAGGUGAUCUACCCAUGUCCAGGGUGAAGUUCAGGUAACACUGAAUGGAGGCCCGAACCCACGCACGUUGAAAAGUGCGGGGAUGAGGUGUGGGUAGGGGUGAAAUGCCAAUCGAACCUGGAGAUAGCUGGUUCUCUCCGAAAUAGCUUUAGGGCUAGCCUCAAGGUAAGAGUCUCGGAGGUAGAGCACUGAUUGGACUAGGGGCCCCUACCGGGUUACCGAAUUCAGUCAAACUCCGAAUGCCGAUGACUUAUCCUUGGGAGUCAGACUGCGAGUGAUAAGAUCCGUAGUCGAAAGGGAAACAGCCCAGACCGCCAGCUAAGGUCCCAAAGUAUACGUUAAGUGGAAAAGGAUGUGGAGUUGCUUAGACAACCAGGAUGUUGGCUUAGAAGCAGCCACCAUUUAAAGAGUGCGUAAUAGCUCACUGGUCGAGUGACUCUGCGCCGAAAAUGUACCGGGGCUAAACGUAUCACCGAAGCUGCGGACUGUUCUUCGAACAGUGGUAGGAGAGCGUUCUAAGGGCUGUGAAGCAAGACCGGAAGGACUUGUGGAGCGCUUAGAAGUGAGAAUGCCGGUAUGAGUAGCGAAAGAGGGGUGAGAAUCCCCUCCACCGAAUGCCUAAGGUUUCCUGAGGAAGGCUCGUCCGCUCAGGGUUAGUCGGGACCUAAGCCGAGGCCGAAAGGCGUAGGCGAUGGACAACAGGUUGAUAUUCCUGUACCACCUCCUCACCAUUUGAGCAAUGGGGGGACGCAGGAGGAUAGGGUAAGCGCGGUAUUGGAUAUCCGCGUCCAAGCAGUUAGGCUGGGAAAUAGGCAAAUCCGUUUCCCGUGAAGGCUGAGCUGUGAUGGCGAGCGAAUUAUAGUAGCGAAGUUCCUGAUUCCACACUGCCAAGAAAAGCCUCUAGCGAGGUGAGAGGUGCCCGUACCGCAAACCGACACAGGUAGGCGAGGAGAGAAUCCUAAGGUGAUCGAGAGAACUCUCGUUAAGGAACUCGGCAAAAUGACCCCGUAACUUCGGGAGAAGGGGUGCUCUGUUAGGGUGCAAGCCCGAGAGAGCCGCAGUGAAUAGGCCCAGGCGACUGUUUAGCAAAAACACAGGUCUCUGCGAAGCCGUAAGGCGAAGUAUAGGGGCUGACGCCUGCCCGGUGCUGGAAGGUUAAGAGGAGCGCUUAGCGUAAGCGAAGGUGCGAAUUGAAGCCCCAGUAAACGGCGGCCGUAACUAUAACGGUCCUAAGGUAGCGAAAUUCCUUGUCGGGUAAGUUCCGACCCGCACGAAAGGCGCAACGAUCUGGGCACUGUCUCAACGAGAGACUCGGUGAAAUUAUAGUACCUGUGAAGAUGCAGGUUACCCGCGACAGGACGGAAAGACCCCGUGGAGCUUUACUGCAGCCUGAUAUUGAAUGUUGGUACAGCUUGUACAGGAUAGGUAGGAGCCUUGGAAACCGGAGCGCCAGCUUCGGUGGAGGCAUCGGUGGGAUACUACCCUGGCUGUAUUGACCUUCUAACCCGCCGCCCUUAUCGGGCGGGGAGACAGUGUCAGGUGGGCAGUUUGACUGGGGCGGUCGCCUCCUAAAAGGUAACGGAGGCGCCCAAAGGUUCCCUCAGAAUGGUUGGAAAUCAUUCGCAGAGUGUAAAGGCACAAGGGAGCUUGACUGCGAGACCUACAAGUCGAGCAGGGACGAAAGUCGGGCUUAGUGAUCCGGUGGUUCCGCAUGGAAGGGCCAUCGCUCAACGGAUAAAAGCUACCCCGGGGAUAACAGGCUUAUCUCCCCCAAGAGUCCACAUCGACGGGGAGGUUUGGCACCUCGAUGUCGGCUCAUCGCAUCCUGGGGCUGUAGUCGGUCCCAAGGGUUGGGCUGUUCGCCCAUUAAAGCGGUACGCGAGCUGGGUUCAGAACGUCGUGAGACAGUUCGGUCCCUAUCCGUCGCGGGCGCAGGAAAUUUGAGAGGAGCUGUCCUUAGUACGAGAGGACCGGGAUGGACGCACCGCUGGUGUACCAGUUGUUCUGCCAAGGGCAUCGCUGGGUAGCUAUGUGCGGACGGGAUAAGUGCUGAAAGCAUCUAAGCAUGAAGCCCCCCUCAAGAUGAGAUUUCCCAUUCCGCAAGGAAGUAAGAUCCCUGAAAGAUGAUCAGGUUGAUAGGUCUGAGGUGGAAGUGUGGCGACACAUGGAGCUGACAGAUACUAAUCGAUCGAGGACUUAACCAA
rnacentral:rRNA from 1 species